UACGCCUGAGUCAUCGCACACAAUCGCGCUGCAAUUUACAUUCACGCCGCGACCAACGGUCGAGUUUCGAAGCGAAGCGGCCCCAUAUGACGACGGUUUGGUUAGGUUAGGUCGCUAACUACGACCAAUUUUAUCAGCGGGUCGCGUUAUAUUGCGGAAUUCUCGCCAACACAAAUCUUAAUUAUUCUGAAGGAACGUUCUCGAAUGUAAUUUUAAAUUCAUUACCCAUAGUGAGACUUCAUUCUUUGGAUUUUUGUUUGUGUUUCACCACUUAAAAAAGCAAAUAAAAAUGUUCACCUGCGAAUAUUGCAACCGCUCGUUCAGCCGUAAAGACCACCUGGCGAGGCACGGGGACUGUCGCGCAGCAGUACAAAUUUGUGACGUUUGCGGCGGGAUAUACAAAUCCGAGGGGGCUCUCCGACGCCAUAAACGCGAGAAGCAUGAGGUUCCCAAGGCGAAAAGACCCGCCGCCGCCCCUAUUGCUGCAGACGAACCCAAGCGCCCGAGACUUGACCUACCGGAAGCUUCGACAUCAUCAUCAUCACCAUCAUCCACGCGCCAUUGUACGCAGUGUAACUUGACCAUUCCUGCAAUGAGAUGGCAAGGACACUUGCGU